CGAGGAUCAAACUCAUCUUCCAACCCUUCGCUCUCCAGCCAAAUCUCCGUUUCAAUCCACAUCGGUGGCUCCCUCCAGAUCUGACUCUUCAACUACAGAUUUGUAUGUUGGGACAAAGACAAAGUCUAACGAAGGUGGCUCCAAUUCUCCAGCCAAAUAACUGAGAUGGCUUGCUUCUCACUCAAGCUAACAUCUCGCUUGAGCAUGCGUCAUCAGAAUGUUUUGAAGCUGCUUCUGGAGCUGUGCUUUAAUUUGGUAAUUCGAAGUCAGCCUUCUAUCCAAAUUUUCCUUUGCAG